GGCAUAUUGGACAAUGGGCGAAAGCCUGAUCCAGCAAUGCCGCGUGUGUGAAGAAGGCCUGCGGGUUGUAAAGCACUUUUGGCAGGGAAGAAAAGCUCGGAGCUAAUACCUCCGGGAAUUGACGUCACCUGCAGAAAAAGCACCGGCUAACUCUGUGCCAGCAGCCGCGGUAAUACAGAGGGUGCAAGCGUUAAUCGGAAUUACUGGGCGUAAAGCGCGCGUAGGUGGUUGGGUAAGUCGGUUGUGAAAUCCCCGGGCUUAACCUGGGAAUUGCAGUCGAUACUGCUCAGCUGGAGUGUGGAAGAGGGAAGCGGAAUUUCCGGUGUAGCGGUGAAAUGCGUAGAUAUCGGAAGGAACACCAGUGGCGAAGGCGGCUUCCUGGUCCAACACUGACACUGAGGCGCGAAAGCGUGGGUAGCGAAC
rnacentral:rRNA from 1 species